GGAUAAGGUUAUGGUUGUUGUUUUAUAGAUCCCAAGGUCCCCUGUUCAUGUGUCUACUUGCAGACCAAAUAGAGUUGGUCAAGUAGAAAAAUAAACCUUUGAAAGUCCAAUGGAAGAAUGCAUGAUUAAAUAUACAAAUUAAUAUGCCAAUACAUGGGAGGUUAUAUGUGGAAUUUGAGUGUCAAAUUUAACACAUGGUCAAUAGAGACCGUUUCGUAGGUCUGAUUUGCUAGAUCACCCUUCCAUAUUGCACAAUUAGGUGUGCAGUUGAGAGAUUCCUCUUGACUGCGUAGUCGCAAUAGAU